rnacentral:rRNA from 1 species
GACGAACGCUGGCGGCGUGCCUAAUACAUGCAAGUAGAACGCACAGUUUAUACCGUAGCUUGCUACACCAUAGACUGUGAGUUGCGAACGGGUGAGUAACGCGUAGGUAACCUGCCUGGUAGCGGGGGAUAACUAUUGGAAACGAUAGCUAAUACCGCAUCAUAUUGAUUAUUGCAUGAUAAUUAAUUGAAAGGUGCAAUUGCACCACUACCAGAUGGACCUGCGUUGUAUUAGCUAGUAGGUGAGGUAACGGCUCACCUAGGCGACGAUACAUAGCCGACCUGAGAGGGUGAUCGGCCACACUGGGACUGAGACACGGCCCAGACUCCUACGGGAGGCAGCAGUAGGGAAUCUUCGGCAAUGGACGAAAGUCUGACCGAGCAACGCCGCGUGAGGGAAGAAGGUUUUCGGAUCGUAAAGCUCUGUUGUAAGAGAAGAACGGGUGUGAGAGUGGAAAGUUCACACUGUGACGGUAUCUUACCAGAAAGGGACGGCUAACUACGUG